GACGAACGCUGGCGGCGUGCCUAAUACAUGCAAGUCGAGCGCUGAAGGUUGGUACUUGUACCAACUGGAUGAGCAGCGAACGGGUGAGUAACGCGUGGGGAAUCUGCCUUUGAGCGGGGGACAACAAGGGGAAACGAAUGCUAAUACCGCAUAAAAACUUGAAACACAAGGGUGAAGGUUGAAAGAUGCAAUUGCAGCACGCAAAGAUGAUCCCGCGUUGUAUUGGCUAGGUGGUGAGGUAAAGGCGCACCAAGGCGGUGUUACAUAGCCGCCCUGAGAGGGUGGUUGGCCGCACUGGGACUGUGACCCGGCCCAAUCUCCUUCGGGAGGCGGCCGUAGGGCAUCUUCGGCAAUGGGCGGAAGUCUGACCGAGCUGCGCCGCGUCCGUGUAGAGGGUUUUCGGGUCGUAAAACUCGGUUGGUAGGGAAGAACGUUGGUGAGCGUGGAAAGCUCAUCAAGUGACGGUAACUACCCAGAAAGCGACGGCUAACUACGUG
rnacentral:rRNA from 1 species